UGAGCCACUGUGCCCAGCCCAAAAAUUUCAGUGUGACUCUUAGAAUCAUCUAGUCAAAAUGGAAUUAUUACUGGAAGUACACUAAGAAAAGAUUCCUUUGGGAAGAAUGAACAUAUUUUCAAAAUUUUUACAUCUCUAAAACAUUGGCUCUUACUCACCCAGAAAAAUAUUAAGACAUAUUUAUUCAAAACUUUUCUUUUGAACUAAUGUAAAGUUUCAUAAUUUUACUGAAGUCUUGAAUAUUCCUGAGAUAUUUACUCCUUAAUAGUUUAUUAUUUUUAUUUCUUUGUGAAUAGAAAUGUUUCCCCUGGUAUAUUUGAAUUGGUUAUUCUGACACAUUGAAAGCUAAUACUGUGUAUUUAUUUUGAAUCAACUGCCUUUUAGAAUUUUUAUUCAUU